rnacentral:lncRNA from 1 species
GGGACCUGCCCGCCAUCGAGUCCGGCGACAUCUACGACACCGUGCAGCUCUACCGCAGGAACGCCGAGCGCUUCACGAGCCGCGCCACCGGCGGGCUGCUUCCCCAGGGGGGUCCUGAACGUGCAGACCAUCUUCGCGCAGAGAGUCAACGACCUCGACACCCUCGGCCACCUCACAAGGGCUGCGAUUGUUCUCGGCAUGGAAGAUCUCAAGGAUGAAUGCUACAAUAGGAUGCUGCAAGAUCAUCAGAUGGGACCACAGCAAGUGAAGCUGUUUUUGCAGAAUGUGCUGGGACACCCGUGAACGGUUCCGCAAAUGGCAUUUUUCCUAGUUAUCAUUAGCAGAUCAUCACCCUGGUCUAUACCUAGCUAGUGAAGUAUAUACUGCCUAUGUUUCAGGAUAGGUUAAGUCUUAAGUACAUACAUGGCUAGAACUCUGUUAAGCCGACUGCGUGCCUGCGUGCACUUUAUCAGGUCUAGAUGUGAGAGCUACUUGAGUUGUUUGGUGCUAAGGCCGAUUCGAAUUGCUCUUAUCAAUUCAGAAUUCACAAGCUUACCAGCUC